CACCCGAUGACUGAAAAAUAAGUAUAGGUCUUUUAAACCUACUAUAGUACUCGCCUACUUCUGGUGACCA
rnacentral:tRNA from 1 species